UACGUAGGGGGCAAGCGUUGUCCGGAUUUAUUGGGCGUAAAGAGCGUGUAGGCGGUUUGGUAGGUCCGCUGUGAAAACUCGAGGCUCAACCUCGAGACGCCGGUGGAAACCGCAUGGCUAGAGUCCGGAAGAGGAGAGUGGAAUUCCUGGUGUAGCGGUGAAAUGCGCAGAUAUCAGGAAGAACACCCGUGGCUAAGGCGGCUCUCUAGUACGGUACUGACGCUGAGACGCGAAAGCGUGGGGAGCGAACAGG
rnacentral:rRNA from 1 species